GACAUGGCUUGGCCAAUUUCCCAACCCACCACUGCAAGUGAAGGCUUACUUUGUCUUUGGGUCUAUUAUGGAUGUUUUGAAGAAGUAUUUGAAGAGCAAGUCUCCAAAGAAUCAUUGGGUAAGCAAUUAGCAUCCCAAGUUUUGAUCUUUGCUGCUUAUUUGCUGUUUUUAGGCACUGUGUAGUGUUGUCUUUUCUAUUAGCUUUGAGUCUUGUGAUAAUUUACUGCCAUUCUGUAUGCUGCUCCAUAUUGGAGCAUGGUUACUUAUUUAAGUUAUUUUUUUUUUUUGGAUUAGAAACAUGUUUAACCCUUUAAAAUUUUAAGAUAUACUAAAGUAAACUUCAUUAUGUGCUAGCCAUUAAGGCCCAAUUAUAUUAUUGUUGACAAACUGAAUUACACAUACUUAAAUCAAAUCAAUAUAAAAGUACAAAGUUCAUCCAGGCUAGCUGAAACUACUAGCUUUUCCUGUAGGGAUUGGUUGUUAAAUUUUCAUAUGAUCGGCAGACAUCUAAACAGUACAGACACCUCAUGCACUCAACCUCAUUUUUAUCUUAAUUUUCUUAUCACUUCACUUCACAUCAUAUACAUAUGUCACACAUUCAUUAUUUCUCUCUAUUCUCUUCAUUUUUCUUUCUCACUUUGGGUGUCUACCCAACAUUUUCUUGGCUUUUUUUCACACUUCAAGACAGUAGGAAUAUAUAUAAUUUCACCAGCUAAAGCUGAUGGACUCAAAAUGAAGGUUUUCAGCUAAACCAGAUGAGCAAAUGGCUGCAACCUCAUGCCUCAAUUGUUUGGGUCCUGAAACGGCAACUCCCACACUUGACCCUUUGACUUCAAAUAGCAGUUCUGUAAAAAUGGGAGAAAAGUGAGUAAUUUCAAUUCAUUAAACUCUGAAUCAUAAUUAAAGAAAAUGGAGGUAACUCACUUUUUAGAUCUGGUCUUACACCAUAAUGCACAUUGGUAGCUUCAACAAAGGAUUGGGAUGGAAGGCUCUCCAACUCCCUAUCUGCAUUGUAAAUCAUCGAGCUUGGUGACACUGUCGGUGUUGACCCUUCCAAGUUCUGAACCUGUUUUGUUUCUUUAGCAUUUUGUUUCUUGUUCCAAAGAACAGCUGCGCUAGCAGCAGUUGCUAUGGACACACACAUGACUAGCAUGUUAAGGAACGCCCUCAUAGAAUAUGAGAAUACUUUGUUUGAAUUAUGAUCGGUAGGAAAGAGGAUGAGAUUAUAGCACCAAGCCAGAGCCAACUGUUUGGACCUAAAAUGGCAUGUACAGGUGCAUCAGUUGGAUUUGGCUUGAACCAUAUGAUUUGAGGGUGAAUUGCGGUUUCGGAUUGAAGCUUCUCAUCUCUUGUGAUGUAAACCUCAAUUUGUAGUUGCAGAUUAGAAAUGUCAGAUGGGAUGCCAGAAAUUGGAAGGAUCAAAUCUAGCAUUGACAGAGAUGAAGAGUUCUUGAAUGCACAAAUAAGGACAACUUUUGGGGUUUUGCAUUUGAAUGUAGUGCUCUGAUA
rnacentral:lncRNA from 1 species